AUGCAGUCGAACGGCAGCACGGAGCUUGCUCUGGUGGCGAGUGGCGAACGGGUGAGUAAUAUAUCGGAACGUACCCURGAGUGGGGGAUAACGUAGCGAAAGUUACGCUAAUACCGCAUACGAUCUAAGGAUGAAAGUGGGGGAUCGCAAGACCUCAUGCUCGUGGAGCGGCCGAUAUCUGAUUAGCUAGUUGGUAGGGUAAAAGCCUACCAAGGCAUCGAUCAGUAGCUGGUCUGAGAGGACGACCAGCCACACUGGAACUGAGACACGGUCCAGACUCCUACGGGAGGCAGCAGUGGGGAAUUUUGGACAAUGGGCGAAAGCCUGAUCCAGCAAUGCCGCGUGAGUGAAGAAGGCCUUCGGGUUGUAAAGCUCUUUUGUCAGGGAAGAAACGGUGAGAGCUAAUAUCUCUUGCUAAUGACGGUACCUGAAGAAUAAGCACCGGCUAACUACGUGCCAGCAGCCGCGGUAAUACGUAGGGUGCAAGCGUUAAUCGGAAUUACUGGGCGUAAAGCGUGCGCAGGCGGUUUUGUAAGUCUGAUGUGAAAUCCCCGGGCUCAACCUGGGAAUUGCAUUGGAGACUGCAAGGCUAGAAUCUGGCAGAGGGGGGUAGAAUUCCACGUGUAGCAGUGAAAUGCGUAGAUAUGUGGAGGAACACCGAUGGCGAAUGCAGCCCCCUGGGUCAAGAUUGACGCUCAUGCACGAAAGCGUGGGGAGCAAACAGGAUUAGAUACCCUGGUAGUCCACGCCCUAAACGAUGUCUACUAGUUGUCGGGUCUUAAUUGACUUGGUAACGCAGCUAACGCGUGAAGUAGACCGCCUGGGGAGUACGGUCGCAAGAUUAAAACUCAAAGGAAUUGACGGGGACCCGCACAAGCGGUGGAUGAUGUGGAUUAAUUCGAUGCAACGCGAAAAC
rnacentral:rRNA from 1 species